rnacentral:rRNA from 1 species
GAUCAUGGCUCAGGAUGAACGCUGGCAGCGUGCUUAACACAUGCAAGUCGAGCGAAGCACUUAGGAAAGAUUCUUCGGAUGAUUUCCUAUUUGACUGAGCGGGCGGACGGGCGAAGGUAACGCGUGGGUAACCUGCCUCAUACAGGGGGAUAACAGUUAGAAAUGACUGCUAAUACCGCAUAAGACCACAGCACCGCAUGGUGCAGGGGUAAAAACUCCGGUGGUAUGAGAUGGACCCG